rnacentral:lncRNA from 1 species
AUUUAUUUAUUUAUUUAUUUAUUUAUUUGCAGUAAUUCCUUAUAUUGAUGCCUUAACUCUGUCAGCUUGGAUCUGAGAAAAACUGGGAGCCCUAUAAUUUAUGGUGGAAGGAAGCCAUUUGUGACAGAGCUGCCUGGUAUUCUUGACUCUAGCAGACAGCACAUGGAGAUCCCAGUUCGCACUUCAGCUCCAGCGAGACUUCAGGUUAAUAGCUUUGUGUCUCACCAUCUUAAGUUCCUCUUCUGUACUAAACAGGUUCAAUUCUCCAAUUUAGGAAGUGUGUAAAUGAUGUCCCAUCAUGAUUCUCCUUCAAACCAGCUGUUCUCUCAACUCAUGGUAUCUCUUCCCAAUCUUCUCCCUGUAAGACUGUAAGACAGCAAGAUGAAUCUCACCUGGAAUGAUUUUGCUAUGUACGAAAUGCACAGUAACUGUAUUUCAAAUUAGUUUUGAAAGUCCCCUGAAACAUGUAAUUAAUCUUGUCUUUUUAGUGAAAACUUCAGCAGCAU